GCUCAUGAUGAACGCUAGCUACAGGCUUAACACAUGCAAGUCGAGGGGCAGCAUGGUCUUAGCUUGCUAAGGCCGAUGGCGACCGGCGCACGGGUGAGUAACGCGUAUCCAACCUGCCUUACACUCUUGGACAGCCUUCUGAAAGGGAGAUUAAUACAAGAUGUUAUCAUGAGUAAGCAUUUUCGCAUGAUUAAAGGUUUACCGGUGUAAGAUGGGGAUGCGUUCCAUUAGAUAGUAGGCGGGGUAACGGCCCACCUAGUCUUCGAUGGAUAGGGGUUCUGAGAGGAAGGUCCCCCACAUUGGAACUGAGACACGGUCCAAACUCCUACGGGAGGCAGCAGUGAGGAAUAUUGGUCAAUGGACGAGAGUCUGAACCAGCCAAGUAGCGUGAAGGAUGAAGGUUCUAUGGAUUGUAAACUUCUUUUAUACGGGAAUAAACGAAUCCACGCGUGGAUUUUUGCAUGUACCGUAUGAAUAAGGAUCGGCUAACUCCGUGCCAGCAGCCGCGGUAAUACGGAGGAUCCGAGCGUUAUCCGGAUUUAUUGGGUUUAAAGGGAGCGUAGAUGGGUUGUUAAGUCAGUUGUGAAAGUUUGCGGCUCAACCGUAAAAUUGCAAUUGAUACUGGCAGUCUUGAGUACAGUUGAGGUAGGCGGAAUUCGUGGUGUAGCGGUGAAAUGCUUAGAUAUCACGAGGAACUCCGAUUGCGAAGGCAGCUUACUAACCUGUAACUGACAUUGAUGCUCGAAAGUGUGGGUAUCAAACAGGAUUAGAUACCCUGGUAGUCCACACGGUAAACGAUGAAUACUCGCUGUAGGCGAUAUACAGUCUGCGGCCAAGCGAAAGCAUUAAGUAUUCCACCUGGGGAGUACGCCGGCAACGGUGAAACUCAAAGGAAUUGACGGGGGCCCGCACAAGCGGAGGAACAUGUGGUUUAAUUCGAUGAUACGCGAGGAACCUUACCCGGGCUUAAAUUGCAACCGAAUAUGGCGGAAACGCUAUAGCUAGCAAUAGCGGUUGUGAAGGUGCUGCAUGGUUGUCGUCAGCUCGUGCCGUGAGGUGUCGGCUUAAGUGCCAUAACGAGCGCAACCCUUGCCGAUAGUUACUAACAGGUUAUGCUGAGGACUCUGUCGGGACUGCCAUCGUAAGAUGUGAGGAAGGUGGGGAUGACGUCAAAUCAGCACGGCCCUUACGUCCGGGGCUACACACGUGUUACAAUGGGGGGUACAGAGGGCUGCUACCACGCAAGUGGAUGCCAAUCCCAAAAACCUCUCUCAGUUCGGAUUGAAGUCUGCAACCCGACUUCAUGAAGCUGGAUUCGCUAGUAAUCGCGCAUCAGCCACGGCGCGGUGAAUACGUUCCCGGGCCUUGUACACACCGCCCGUCAAGCCAUGGGAGCCGGGGGUACCUGAAGUGCGUAACCGCAAGGAGCGCCCUAGGGUA
rnacentral:rRNA from 1 species